GAAGCUUGAUCACAUGAGCGUCAGCCAUAGCUGUAUAAGAAAACACAGGAAGCAUCCUGGUGGUCGUGCUAACUCUGGAGGCAUGCACCACCAUAGGAUCCUCUUCAGCAAUUACCUCUUAGGUAUUUUGGGAAAGUAAUAUAUGCUACUUCCAUAAGCUCUACAACAAGUUCUAUUGCCCCAUCGUUAACAUUGACAAGCUUUGGCGCUUGGUCCAUGAUUUCUCAAGAGGUGAAGGAUAAGGCUUCUAAGGAUAAUGAUCCCUAAUGCUAUCCAAUUGGGAUACUUGAAAGUUAUGGGGAAGUUGGCUUUGCUUGAGAAUCAGCCAAUAGUGGUGAAGGCAAAGCUCGUUUUGAAGAUUGCUGGAAAGAAGAUCAAGGAGGCUAGUGGAGCGAUCAUUCUUAAUUUUUGGAAUAAUGAUGUUUUGGAAUUGUUUAAGAGGUUAUUUUUGUUAUAAUAUAUGAAAUUUAGAGGUUAACAUUAG
rnacentral:misc_RNA from 1 species